GAGGGUAUAGCUCAAGUGGUAGAGCACGUGCUUAGCAUACACAAGGUCCUGGGUUCAAUCCCCAGUACCUCCA
rnacentral:tRNA from 1 species